UUUUGGUAAUUUGGCCAUUGU
ensembl:piRNA 21ur-9544 ncRNA